rnacentral:lncRNA from 1 species
GCAAACACGUUGAUGCUUAUUGUUAUCAGACUUUGAAGAUUGACGGACUUGUAAAGAGCAGAGAACUUGGCUGUAUGAGCCGACGUCAAAAGCAACAUGUCCGCUUUGCUGGCUAGUUAGAACACAGGCUAUAAGGACUCGGCAGGCAGCAAAAGACGCUAGCAGCUUCAUUGGCUCGAGCAGUACGAGCAUGGCCACGGCGACCAGGGAAGGACAGUGUUUGCGACAUGUUGGCAGACUACGCCGCACCUGGAUGGCAGCUGCAGAUCGGUAUGAUGUAGGGCACGUUAGGGAAACAGAUAGCAUACAUGGCUUGUGACAGAUGAAAUAGGGACGAAAAAUACACGAUGGAGAUGCUCACCAAUGGUCAGCCGCAGAUGGCAUUGAGGCCUGCUCAACUAGAAGGGAAGCACUUCAGCGAUGCAUCAACCUGCGAGUCUCAGAAAGACGUCGACAAUGGUUGAUCCAUUAUGGUUGGUCAUCUAAAGUUGAACCUUCAUGCAAAGCCCACGGCCGGUGUUGUCUUCUUGCCGGUGGAUUUGCACGCGAACCAGAGAUGGCGGCUUAUAGCAGAGGCGAUGAUCUGAUGUCCCUAGUGGUGGCGAUUGCUUC